UCACUCUGGUUUCUCUUUCAUAACACACAAGUCUUUCACCUUUACUAAAGACUUCCUUGGAGGGGAACAACGAUGCGUUGAAACUGUUGGGGAAAUCCUUCUAUAAAAUGGAC